rnacentral:rRNA from 1 species
AGUGAACGCUGGCGGUAGGCCUAACACAUGCAAGUCGAACGGCAGCACAGUAAGAUCUUGCUCUUACGGGUGGCGAGUGGCGGACGGGUGAGGAAUACAUCGGAAUCUACUUUUUCGUGGGGGUUAACGUAGGGAAACUUACGCUAAUACCGCAUACGACCUACGGGUGAAAGCAUGGGAUCUUCUGACCUUGCGCGAUUGAAUGAGCCGAUGUCGGAUUAGCUAGUUGGCGGGGUAAAGGCCCACCAAGGCGACGAUCCGUAGCUGGUCUGAGAGGAUGAUCAGCCACACGGGAACUGAGACACGGUCAAGACUCCUACGGGAGGCAGCAGUGGGGAAUAUUGGACAAUGGGCGCAAGCAUGAUACAGCAAUACCGCGUGGGUGAAGAAGGCCUUCGGGUUGUAAAGCCCUUUUGUUGGGAAAGAAAAGCAGCAGGUUAAUACCCAGCUGUUCUGACGGUACCCAAAGAAUAAGCACCGGCUAACUUCGUG